CUAGACAAAGACAGUAGCAGCCCCAGAUCUACAGAAAAUGCACAGAUAUUGUUAGGUUUGUGCAAAAGUAAUUGUGGUUUUUGCCACUGAAAGCAAUGACAAUUACUUUUCCACCAACCUAAAACAUUAUUAUUCCUGUUCUUUAUUUUUUGGACUUAUUCAGUGUUCAACAUGGGAUACUCUGUGGUGUUAGAGCUGCAGGAAUGCUCCUCCAGCUAUGGCACAUUUGGCAAAGUGUAUGGCAACACCUUCCUUCAGUGGAAAGGGCCACUCUUGAAGAACAUAACACCUUGAAGAAGCAGGUGUUCCUUAUGAACUCCUCCAUGCUGGAAAUCAAAGAUGUGAGUGUCGGUUUCACUGUCUUCUGUGUAUCCAGCUGUCUUAAGAACAGCUUGCCAUCCUGGAAGAGUUCCAGUUCUUUGCAAAUGACAGUGCAAGUCUUUUCCUUUUUCUAAUCGAUGGCUUCCUCAAAUACCUGAGUGCUGUUCUCUGUUUGCAUUUAAUUUGAUAAAUGAUGUUGACACCCUCCAUUGAAUUCUAAGUGGAAUAAUAUCAGGAAGAGACACAAGUCUUGUGUUAUGUAUUCUCAAAUUAGACUGGGAAUGUCUUCAAAUGACCUAAAUAGGAUGCUUUGAUUCCCAGAUACUUGUAUACUGACCAUCUAUACCAAUAUAUUCAGCCUUGCCUUUGGUCAGGAUGUUCACCUUCUGAUUCAUCACCACUCUCUGCCUCACAUUUUAAUUGCACUGGUUACUUAAGGAUUGUUGUUUGUAGUACCUUAUUAUGGCUGUAUCAUGACUAUACCAGUAACCUCAGCACUGGACACAGAAAUGGAAAUAUAAAGUAUAUGCUGGGGUUUGCUAUUGUAUCUACAAUUACCAGUCAGUUCUACUUGUCUUGAUUUUUUUCCUCAGAAAGAGAAUAAAAUGGCAGGCAAUAAUAAAUUAUUUAAAAGUCUAAAAUGAAAAUCAGCCAAAUGGAAUAUAAAUGUCUUUCAGACAUUCUAUAUACCUGGUGAUACCAUUUAAUUGGCCUCAUGUAAACUAGCUUAUUCAUUCUUUUGUGCCAGUAAAUAGCUGUAACUGGGGCAAUGGCUACUUGUUACUUCAACAAAAAUUAAAAAGCCCUCCUGAUCAUCCAAUUCUUUCAUCUCUCUUAAUUAUUUUUUCUACUACUGUUGUAAAAGGGUAAUUUCUAAUCACUGGGGUGAGAAUUCCAAGCAUCAUUUUCACAUAUACUUAUAACACUCUGAGAGAGAAGCACAGAGUGCUUGUA
rnacentral:lncRNA from 1 species